AUUGAACGCUGGCGGCAGGCCUACACAUGCAAGUCGAGCGGCAGCGGGACCUUCGGGUUGCCGGCGAGCGGCGGACGGGUGAGUAAUGCCUAGGAAUCUGCCUGUUAGUGGGGGAUAACGCGGGGAAACUCGCGCUAAUACCGCAUACGUCCUACGGGCGAAAGCGGGGGCUCUUCGGACGUCGCGCUAACAGAUGAGCCUAGGUCGGAUUAGCUAGUUGGUGGGGUAAUGGCUCACCAAGGCGACGAUCCGUACCUGGUCUGAGAGGAUGAUCAGUCACACUGGAACUGAGACACGGUCCAGACUCCUACGGGAGGCAGCAGUGGGGAAUAUCGGACAAUGGGCGAAAGCCUGAUCCAGCCAUGCCGCGUGUGUGAAGAAGGUCUUCGGAUUGUAAAGCACUUUAAGUCGGGAGGAAGGGCUGUAGGUUAAUACCCUGCAGUUUUGACGUUACCGACAGAAUAAGCACCGGCUAACUUCGUGCCAGCAGCCGCCGUAAAAC
rnacentral:rRNA from 1 species